rnacentral:lncRNA from 1 species
GCCAGAAGAAUCAAAACCCUAACAACCCAAAAUCCGUCAAAUUGAAAGGGAAAUUGAAGGUUAAUCGUAUGCAUGAACUAGGAAUGUUAAUCACUUGAGGAUCUCCAACAUCAAUGAUGUAUAACGCGAAAGCUAAACGCGUAUGUAAUGCACCUUAUAGGGUCGAAGAAAGGAGCGGAAUCAAACCAAGCAAAGGCAAUAGGAGCGCACGACUCCGGUGAAUCUCACUCUUGAUAAUGGCGAGCUUGGAUCGAACACACCACAUCGCCCUUUUAUGCGCUUCCGGUUUAAGUCGUCUUUGUAAAUGGGUCAAAACACUUUCAUAAUGUAAAUGUUAAGUUUAUGUCUAGGAUGUUUCGUAAGUAAGUUAGGAUUUUAAAUCUUAUUUUGGUAGUUCGGACAAAAACAUUUUUGUUGGAAUCUUGUAAGCUUACAACUUUCAUGUCUUUUAAAUGUGUCGUAGAUUUUAGUUUGAAUGGUGAUUGUUAAA